rnacentral:rRNA from 1 species
CUGGAAUUUAAAUGUUCAUACAUCUCACUUCUACAGAGAGACACAUCAACACAAAAUAAUCACAAUAGGUAAUCAGGAUAUCACAGGAAACUAACUAACAGAAAAUUCUCAUACAUUGAAAUAGUAAAACAGAUAACAACUCCACACUAAAGUUCAACACAUAAUUCACAAGAAGUAAUCUGAGGUUUUACAAACCACUAGCUGACGAACAGGGCACAAAAUAUUGAACUAGUAUAAAAUAUAGUUGAUCAAGUCUCCACAGUAACUGUUCACAAAAUUACACAACGAGAGAGAUGCAGUUUAACAGUAGCAGAGGUUCAGCAAGGAGAGAAGGUGCAGCAGUGGUGAGAGAGCAGCAAUUGUUUUGGGGAAAGGUAGUAGCAGCCAGCAGGGAUGUGGGAGAGGAGCAGCAGAGAGGUAGAGAGCAGCAGCUGCAGCAGCGUUGAGAUAGGUGCAACGAGGGUUGAGAGAAGGGAAGCAGCAGUUGGCAAGUGGAGGUUGAGAUUCAGAGAAGGCAGAGAGCGUGCAACAAAGUUUGGGUGAAGAAGAGAGGUGGAAGAGCGGCAAGGGGGCGCUGGAGAAGAAAGAAGCAGCGGGCUAGGUUUGAGGGUGAGCACCAACAGGUUGAAGGAGGAGGAACAUCAGCGGUGAGAAAAGAGUAGCAGCAGUAGGGAGAUGGCUGUAGGCGCGGCGACGGCGGCCGAGAUGGAUGUAUGUUGCGGCGGAUGGGGUGUUGGAGGCUGUUGGUGUUGUGGACAGAGGGGUAAGGUAGGAUGGCUAGGAGGCGCACCACCACGACGGCCUGGCUGUGGCGGCGACCGGAGGUGGAGAAGGAGGGUGAGGGAAAGAGAGAAGUGCCAGGCCC